rnacentral:rRNA from 1 species
CCCUUAGAUGUUCUGGGCCGCACGCGCGCUACACUGAGCCCUUCAUCGAGUUUACAACCUUGGCCGGUAGGUCUGGGUAAUCUUCUCAAAGGGGCUCGUGCUGGGGAUAGAUUAUUGUAAUUUUUAAUCUUCAACGAGGAAUUCCUAGUAAACGCAAGUCAACAGCUUGCAUUGAUUACGUCCCUGCCCUUUGUACACACCGCCCGUCACUACUACCGAUUGAAUGGCUUAGUGAGCCCGAGGGACUGUUGCACCUAGAGGGUUUUCUCUCCAGGAGCAGCCGGGAACUCGGUCAAACUUGAUCAUUUAGAGGAAGUAAAAGUCGUAACA